rnacentral:rRNA from 1 species
UACAGAGACUGCAAGCGUUAUUCGGAUUCACUGGGCGUAAAGGGUGCGCAGGCGGUUGGGUGUGUCAGAUGUGAAAUCCCGAGGCUUAACCUCGGAACUGCGUCUGAAACUACUCGACUAGAGUACUGGAGAGGGAAACGGAAUUCACGGUGUAGCAGUGAAAUGCGUAGAUAUCGUGAGGAACACCAGAGGCGAAGGCGGUUUCCUGGGCAGUUACUGACGCUCAGGCACGAAAGCAUGGGGAGCAAAAGGG